rnacentral:lncRNA from 1 species
ACGGGUGGCUCGGGGCCGCGUUCCACCCCAUGCGCGCUCCAGCGCCGGCAUGCUGUGCCUUCUCCUUGUUUCAGAACUCCCGCAACCGAGUGGCGUGCACAUUUCCAGCCUCGGAAAAGGGCAGCAGCCUGUUCCUGCUCUGUAAACGUCUUCUUAGCUGGCUCUCGGCCCGAGAAACCCGCUAGGACCGCGGCCGAUGCCAGGGUCCCCAGGGAGAGUGCCUGGGCUUCGGCACAGGUGGCAGACUCUCAGCGCCCUCCUCCUGCAGUCUCCUCCUCCCAUCGAUUUCUUUUGUAUUUUGGCUUGGGUGGAUAGAAUGUAGGUCGGUGCUCUGAUGCUGCUGAGCGUCUUUGAUUACAAAUAAUGCAGAACCGGAUUCAUUGGCAAAUAAGGCCUUGGAGCCUCGCCUUGAGCUCCAUCUCUGCUAGAUUUCAGCCCCUCCCCCUCCUCGCCCACAAUUUAUAAAGAGCUUUGGUUCGCCCUGUAGCCGCUUCAGAGGAUUGGAAAAGCAAAUCCUCUUUUGUUCCUUGGCUUUUGAAAGCCUAUUCCCUAAAGAACAAUGCGAAAUGGCAGGAUUUUGAUGAAAGGUUUUUAUCCCUGCCGCCACUACCUUCUUUCCACAAGUGUUCAUACAAAAUGAGCCUUUUAUGCUAAACUUGUCCGGGGUUGGUUGUAAUCAGCCUGAACCAGGUGUUGGGGUUCUCGCCUGCUCUCGCUCUGGAAAGUUAACAGUCCUAAGAGCAAAUAGAUUAAAACUUUGGUUCUUGCACUGCUGAGAAACUUUAAUUGGUUUGAGGUCAGUUGUUUGGUUUUUAAAAGGUUUUCCUUGCUUCUUAAGGCUUUAGCCAGAAGAGAUAACUGCUUCGAAAACAAACUGAAGGAAACAAAAGUAGCCCUCUCUACUUAGGAAUCAAAUGGAGAAUUACAAUAAAUAAGAUUACAUUCACCACCA